rnacentral:rRNA from 1 species
GAUGAACGCUGGCGGCGUGCCUAAUACAUGCAAGUCGAGCGAACAGACGAGGAGCUUGCUCCUCUGACGUUAGCGGCGGACGGGUGAGUAACACGUGGAUAACCUACCUAUAAGACUGGGAUAACUUCGGGAAACCGGAGCUAAUACCGGAUAAUAUAUUGAACCGCAUGGUUCAAUAGUGAAAGACGGUUUUGCUGUCACUUAUAGAUGGAUCCGCGCCGCAUUAGCUAGUUGGUAAGGUAACGGCUUACCAAGGCAACGAUGCGUAGCCGACCGGGGAGGGUGGUCGGCCACCCUGGAACGGGGACACGGUCCAGACUCCUACGGGAGGCAGCAGUAGGGAAUCUUCCGCAAUGGGCGAAAGCCUGCCGGAGCAACGCCGCGUGAGUGAUGAAGGUCUUCGGAUCGUAACACUCUGUUAUUAGGGAAGAACAAAUGUGUAAGUAACUAUGCACGUCUUGACGGUACCUAAUCAGAAGGCCACGGCUAACUAGGUG